rnacentral:misc_RNA from 1 species
GAUGAAGAACGUAGUGAAAUGCGAUAAGUAAUGUGAAUUGCAGAAUUCAGUGAAUCAUCGAAUCUUUGAACGCACAUUGCGCCCCUUGGUAUUCCGGGGGGCAUGCCUGUUCGAGCGUCAUUAUAACCCUCAAGCCUAGCUUGGUGUUGGAGCAUGCUACCUAAGCAGCUCUUAAAAUCAGUGGCAGUGCCCUUCGGCUCUAAGCGUAGUAACUUCUCUCGCUAUGGAACCCGGAGGGUACGCGCCAGAACCCCCAACUUUCUAUGGUUGACCUCGGAUCAGGUAGGGAUACCCGCUGAACUUAAGCAUAUCAAUAAGCGGAGGA